UACAAAUAGAUGGUGUUCUUGAUAGUUCU
rnacentral:piRNA from 1 species